rnacentral:sRNA from 1 species
AACACACAAAUACCAAACUUGUGCAUUUAAAUAAUUGACAUAUGUUGCAUUGACUACGUUCAUAAUUCUGCCUGUGUGUGAACUAACAAAACCGUGCAACGCAAAAUGUCUAUUUUCCUCACCGUGUGUAAGAGAAGACUCGGAAUCUCGACCGAUGUGAGUGUUUGUAGUGACAAGGCUCUUGUCGCUUUAAAACAGUUCCACUGAUUUGUCUUCAAUUUUGAUGGAUUGAGAACUGCAAUCGAGGCAAAAAGUCGACAACUUCAAACAAAAAUAAAAUAAAAAACGGAUAAUAUUGAACAACAACGUGCACAGCAGCAUUAAGUGUGCGACGACUAUCAAACAAACAAUUUGCAUGCGCCAAGAAGUAAGAAACAAACAAUUCAGUGAUUGUGCGUGAAAAAAGCAACAACAAGAAGAAGAACAACAACAAAAAUAUUACACCACACAAAAAACAACAUAAAAUUGCUGCAAUUGGGCAACGCUUCAAGUGAGAAGAAUAAGCACAACGCAUGAGGAGCAACAGAAGGGAACGAACAUCGAACCUUGAAUAAACUAACGGUGCCCGGCGGCGUUAAAUCGCGCGCGACGUCGGCGGCGGCGGCCUUGACAGCUGAUUUUCUCUCUAGGAUAUACGGAUCCGUAGCGCGCAGUUCAUUUUCGGCACCCGGAUUGAUGAACAAUGAACAAAUUGGUGUUUCAUCAAUAUCAUCAUCAGCAUCCACAACAUCAACAGCAACAACAGAAAAAAUAUC